GAGACACACUUGAAUAUUGAUCCAUCUACAGCUAAACCCAGAGGAAAUCUUGUGCACAAAGCACUGUGCUCCCCAAACUGCCAACUACUUUCCAUUGAGUGAGUAGGGGCUUACCAAACUGCCCUUUGAAAGUUAAGAUUCCCCGGAAAUAAUGGGCUCUCUCCCUGGGAACUCCACAGAGCGCCAUGGUGGGUCCCGCUUCAGUGCUGACUCAACCACCUCCCUUAUCUACAGCCCUUAUACAAAACCACAGAGUUUGAGCUUGGCAAGGGGGUCUCUCUUGUGUGGGGCUGCCUUCCUGGGUAUGAAGCCAAGAGCUCGUUCUAGGAGAUAAGAAGUCAAUCGUCUGGUUGGUUUACGAGGCCACGCCUCGGAGCACUUAAACCACAAGACAAGCCACAGCGCGCUUUGGAAACAAAAUACCAUUCGGGAGCAGCAAGCAGGCUUCUAUUCGAAAACACCUCCAACUCGUGUGCUGCCUCAAGACCCGGCUGUUUGCUUCAUGUUUUGAAAUGUGCCUCUUACCUGUCACCAACCCUUUUCUCACUUGGUACAGAGAUCCACGGGGAUCUGCCAAAUCCUCAGUGUUCCGAGGGAGAGGAGGUCUCAGUAACCAUAUGGAAAGUUCCAGAACUCUUCUGAAGAAUGUUCGAGUCCAAGCCACUAGGAAAUAGAGGCAGUUCGCUCCUACAAGCAAGCAUACAACACGAUAUAGGAGAACUGUACUAGGUCUUCAUGACCCUGACAAAUUCCUGACAUAACAAGGUCAGGAUAGAAAGACUCGUUUGGGUUCACAAUUCCAGUCCAUCGUGAUGGAAGGGUCAGGCCAAGUGAAGCUCUCUCUCUCACCUGGGGAAACCAGGAAGCAGAGGAAGAAAACACCUAUGAGGGCUUGGUUUUUUCCUUUCCCACUUUAAUGCUGUCCUGAUCCCUAGCCUAGGGGAUGAUGCCGCCCACAUUCAGGGUGGGGCUUCCCCAUAAGUAAAAUAACUCCCCCUGGAAACAUCUGCCUGACACACCUGGCAGCAUUCUGUACCAACUAUCUGGGAGUGUCUGGGGCCAACUGAGUUGGCAAUCAAGAUUAGCCCUUACAGAGUCAGGGAACACACUGUGUUUACCAACAUCUGACUGUCCAAGAGAAACCAACCUCGUCCUUUCCUGUCAGGCAAUAUUUUCAUGAUCUCAAUGGGGCACAAAAGUUUUUCCUAGAAAAUGGAACAAACUCUGAAGCUCUGAGCCGUGUAAAUACAGAUUAGAACUUAG
rnacentral:sRNA from 1 species